rnacentral:misc_RNA from 1 species
UAUAAAAAAAAAAAAAGGAACUAUCACUUCCCUAGCCUUGCAUUUUAAGAUCUUUUAGGUUGCUGAGAUGAGGAGAGAAAAAAAGAGCGGGAGAGUGAAAGAGAAAACACAGACAAAGAGAUUCAAAAUUGAGAUCUUAUUUUCGGUUUUCCCGGGUUUUCUUAGCAACCAAACAGAUAAAAAAGAAAAUUGAAAAUCUCAGCGUCAGUGGAAGGUAGUAAGCUGUGAGAGAGAAGAGAUGGUAGAUCGAGAAACGAGGAUAGAUGAGGAAUCUGAGAUCAAAAACAGAGUAAUAACAUACAGAGGCGACAGGAAAUGAGGGGAAUGUCGAAGAAAUCGAGGUGGAGGAGGAAAAUCGGCGACAGCAUAUACCUGGGAAGAAG